UUUGAAUAAGUCGUUCUCAAGUUACGGUGCGACAUGUUUACGCCGGACAGACGGACAGACGGACAGACGGACGGACGGACGGACAGACGGACGGACGGACACCGGACAUUUGUAUACCAUAAUACGUCCCGUCAAAAUUUUGACGGGCGUAUAAAAACCAUCAUACAGACUUUCAAACAUUACUCACUUAUCUCUUAUCAAACUUUUCUUUAAGUUACUCUCUAAAGUUCCAUAAGAUUCAUUUGUAAAAAUAAAAAUUUAAAUAAUGAAUUAAAAAUCAUAUUGGCACUGCCUUAACCAUUUUAUAGUAAAAAAAAUACAACAUACAAUAGAGAAAUCAUAUCACAGAAGUUUUGGAUCAUCCAUCAAAUAUAAGUUACUUCCCUUUUAUUGGAUUCCUCUUUUUCAAAAAAUGACUACAACACAUUUCCAUCACGAAAUCUUAAUCUUAAGAUAUUCAAUUUCAAUAUUUUCAAUCAAAUUUUACAAUGAUGUGUUUUUCUUAAAUUUGUUGUAAUUCUAUAAAAUAAAAUUUCAUUUUCAUUGUUAGAAAAGAGGAAGAGCGAAAACAACUUAGUUCUUAAAAAAGUUUAUAACAUAUCAAUUUACCAGUUCAGAAUUUAAUGCAUCUAUGGGUUAUAUUUUCAAGAGCAUAAACCUAAAAGGUUGUGAUUUGCUAAUAACAUCCUAAAUAAUGAAAUUUCAACCAAUGUUGGGAUAGUUUUGCAUUCCCUGUUAGAACAAUGUAUGACACAUAACUCUUUACAUUCUGAAAUGGCAAAUUAUAUUGUUAUACUUUGAAAUAAAAAAGGAAAACCUUGAAUCGAUGGAUGACCCUCAUAAAAAUAAUAUCAUUCAUCUUUUAUCACAAAUAAUCUUUUGAACACUCUUAACAACAGAUAAAAGGUUUUCUAUUGAAAAACUUGGUUUUUACAGUAUGUGUUUUAAUGCAUUAGAAUUUUUCAGAAGGGACAAAUAAUUGAGUUCUCUUUCAGCAUAGUUUUUUCAAGAUUCCUGAUCAUUUUUGGGGACAUGUAGCACUAUUAAGUAUUUGCAUUUUCAAAUCCUUAAAAAAAAAGACAACAUCUUUAGUCUUCAAAGAUAAAUUUACAAAUUAAGAAAACAUUUUCCUUUCAAUUUGAAAUAAACAGAGUACCUCUGGUAUUUGGAUUAAAAUAAAUAUAACAUAAUUCAUUUUAUAAAAUAGCUAUUUUGAAAUGAUAUAAAUUUCCUGCUUUUUAAGAAAUAUUACAACAAAAUUUGACUUUUUAAAAAGUUUUUAUCCAAUCUAAAUUGAAAAUUUUUGGAAUAUAACUUCAAACCAUUAAAACAUGGUCAGUAAAUUCCAGUUAGAUUGACUGCUUGUGACCUUUAAAAGGAAUCCAUUAAUAACCUUUGACCUUGAAAUGUUACCUCUGACAACACAGAGCAUUAGACAACACUUUUAAUAAGUCUGGGACUUCAGCAGAUAUAUUUGGCAGCAUUAAAAGCACUGUUGGAAUUCUACAACAAUUUCUAAUAUCACAAAGCGCUUGUAAAUAUAAUUAACAAACCAGGUGCUCCGCAGGGCGCAGCUUUAUACGACCGCAGAGGUCGAACCCUGAACAGUUGGGGAAAGUAUGGACAAAACAUUCAAGCGUGAUACAGCUCUGAAUUUGGAUUGUGAUCAAAUUUUUGACAUUACAUGGUUUUUUUUUACACAAAACAAAUGUCAAGAUUUUACAAAUCAAUUAAAGAUUUCUUCUUCAAACUUUUUAAAUCUAAAAUUAAAUAGUUG
rnacentral:lncRNA from 1 species